CGCAGCCAGGGUGGCCAUCUCUGCUCAGCAGUUACCAUGGCUGGUCACAGGCAGCCUCAGACCGGAUCCUUGCUGUGCAGAGCGGUCACAUUGGGUGUGUGUGUGUGUGUGUGUGUGUGUGUGUGUGUGUGUGUGUGUGUGGUUGCACUAGAAGUUUUUGAUGCAUAUUGUUGUUUUUAAAUCUUAGACCCAACCGUUCUUUGUGUGGAGCCCGCAGUGUCCCACAGACGUCUCUGGCCACCGGGACUCCUCACAGGGGCCGCUCUGGUCUCCCAGGCCCAGCACCGGUCUUAGGUGUUGGUGCCUGGGCCCUGAGGCUCCAGAAGGGAGGGCUCAGCUGUGAGGUCCCCGAGAGCUGAGGGCAGAGCACAGAGCGGUGUCCUUGGACUAAAGCAGCGAUGCUGGUGUCGAAGAAAAAGGAUGAGGAGGAGGAGCACAAGCAGCAGGAGGAAGGCCCCGGGGACCAAGAUCAGAAGCUUCAGGCUCCUUUCUGACCCUGGGACGGGACUGAGGCCUGCAGAGAGGAAAACGCACUGAACUGAGCGCCUCGUGCGCCAGGUCCAAGGACACAACAGCCAGUGGACCCACGGCCUUCCUGAGCUGCCCCUUCCGGUGAGGGUACUGAGGGCCGGACGUUCCUCCAGAGUCUCCCCGCGGUCUCCUCAGCCCGUCCACUGCCCAGCACGGUGGUCCUCACCAUGGCUGCUGUC